rnacentral:rRNA from 1 species
AACGAACGCUGGCGGCAUGCCUAACACAUGCAAGUCGAACGGGAUCCUAGCUUGCUAGGUGAGAGUGGCGGACGGGUGAGUAACGCGUGGGAAUCUGCCUUUUGGUUCGGGAUAACCGCGGGAAACUGCGGCUAAUACCGAAUGCCCUCGAGAGAGGAAAGAUUUAUCGCCAGAAGAGGAGCCCGCGUCCGAUUAGGUAGUUGGUGGGGUAAAGGCCUACCAAGCCGACGAUCGGUAGCUGGUCUGAGAGGAUGAUCAGCCACACUGGGACUGAGAUACGGCCCAGACUCCUACGGGAGGCAGCAGUGGGGAAUAUUGGACAAUGGGGGCAACCCUGAUCCAGCAAUGCCGCGUGAGUGAUGAAGGCCUUAGGGUUGUAAAGCUCUUUUGCCAGGGAAGAUGAUGACUGUACCUGGAGAAUAAGCCCCGGCUAAACUUCGUGCCAGCAGCCGCGGUAAU